rnacentral:rRNA from 1 species
GACGAACGCUGGCGGCGUGCUUAACACAUGCAAGUCGAACGGAAAGGCCUGCUUUCCCUUGUGGAUUGCGGGUACUCGAGUGGCGAACGGGUGAGUAACACGUGAGUGAUCUGCCCCCAACUUGGGUAUAAGCCUGGGAAACUGGGUCUAAUUCCCGAUAGGACUGCAGGGUGGUGCCUGUGGUGGAAAACGAUUUUCUAGUGGUUGGGGAUGAGCUCGCGGCCUGUCAGCUUGUUGGUGGGGUAAUGGCCUACCAAGGCGGCGACGGGUAGCCGGCCUGAGAGGGUGGACGGCCACAUUGGGACUGAGAUACGGCCCAGACUCCUACGGGAGGCAGCAGUGGGGAAGAGUGCACAAUGGGCGGAAGCCUGAUGCAGCGACGCCGCGUGGGGGAUGACGGCCUUCGGGUUGUAAACUCCUUUCGACCGCGAGGAAGCCACCUGGUUGGAAGGGUGGUGACGGUAGUGGUAGAAGAAGCACCGGCUAACUACGUG